rnacentral:rRNA from 1 species
AGGGUUUGAUCAUGGCUCAGAACGUACGCUGGCGGCACGCCUAAUACAUGCAAGUCGAACGAAGUAGCAAUACUUAGUGGCAGACGGGUGAGUAACAUGUGGGUAUCUUCCCUUUGGUGAGGAAUAACACGAGGAAACUUGUGCUAAUACCUCAUAAGUCUUUACAGAGAAAGCUUUAUGCGCCAUUGGAUGAGCCCGCACUUGAUUAGUUUGUUGGUGGGGUAAUAGCCUACCAAGACAAUGAUCAAUAGCUGAUUUGAGAGGAUGAUCAGCCACAUUGGGACUGAGACACGGCCCAAACUCCUACGGGAGGCAGCAGUAGGGAAUCUUGCACAAUGGAGGAAACUCUGAUGCAGCGAUGCCGCGUGAGUGAAGAAGGCCUUUGGGUUGUAAAGCUCUUUCGUCGGGGAAGAAAAUGACUGUACCCGAAUAAGAAGGUCCGGCUAACUUCGUGCCAGCAGCCGCGGUAAUACGAAGGGACCUAGCGUAGUUCGGAAUUACUGGGCUUAAAGAGUUCGUAGGUGGUUAAAAAAGUUGGUGGUGAAAUCCCAGAGCUUAACUCUGGAACUGCCAUCAAAACUUUUUAGCUAGAGUAUGAUAGAGGAAAGCAGAAUUUCUAGUGUAGAGGUGAAAUUCGUAGAUAUUAGAAAGA